rnacentral:rRNA from 1 species
UGCAAGUCGAACGGUAACAGGGAGCUUGCUCCGCUGACGAGUGGCGAACGGGUGAGUAAUGCGUCGGAACGUGCCGAGUAGUGGGGGAUAACGCAGCGAAAGUUGUGCUAAUACCGCAUACGUACUGAGGUAGAAAGUGGGGGACCUUCGGGCCUCACGCUAUUCGAGCGGCCGACGUCUGAUUAGCUAGUAGGUGAGGUAAAGGCUCACCUAGGCGACGAUCAGUAGCGGGUCUGAGAGGAUGAUCCGCCACACUGGGACUGAGACACGGCCCAGACUCCUACGGGAGGCAGCAGUGGGGAAUUUUGGACAAUGGGCGAAAGCCUGAUCCAGCCAUGCCGCGUGUCUGAAGAAGGCCUUCGGGUUGUAAAGGACUUUUGUCAGGGAGGAAAUCCCCAGCGCUAAUACCGCUGGGGGAUGACAGUACCUGAAAAAUAAGCACCGGCUAACUACGUGCCAGCAGCCGCGGUAAUACGUAGGGUGCAAGCGUUAAUCGGAAUUACUGGGCGUAAAGCGUGCGCAGGCGGUUUGAUAAGCCAGAUGUGAAAUCCCCGAGCUCAACUUGGGAACUGCGUUUGGAACUGUCAGACUAGAGUGCGUCAGAGGGGGGUGGAAUUCCGCGUGUAGCAGUGAAAUGCGUAGAGAUGCGGAGGAACACCGAUGGCGAAGCAGCCCCCUGGGAUGACACUGACGCUCAUGC